rnacentral:rRNA from 1 species
AAUAGAUACCCGGGUAGUCCACGCCGUAAACGAUGAGUGCUAAGUGUUAGGGGGUUUCCGCCCCUUAGUGCUGCAGCUAACGCAUUAAGCACUCCGCCUGGGGAGUACGGUCGCAAGACUGAAACUCAAAGGAAUUGACGGGGGCCCGCACAAGCGGUGGAGCAUGUGGUUUAAUUCGAAGCAACGCGAAGAACCUUACCAGGUCUUGACAUCCCGUUGACCACUAUGGAGACAUAGUUUUCCCUUCGGGGACAGCGGUGACAGGUGGUGCAUGGUUGUCGUCAGCUCGUGUCGUGAGAUGUUGGGUUAAGUCCCGCAACGAGCGCAACCCUUGUUCUUAGUUGCCAUCAUUUAGUUGGGCACUCUAAGGAGACUGCCGGUGACAAACCGGAGGAAGGUGGGGAUGACGUCAAAUCAUCAUGCCCCUUAUGACCUGGGCUACACACGUGCUACAAUGGACGGUACAAACGGUCGCGAAGUCGCGAGACGGAGCCAAUCCGAUAAAACCGUUCUCAGUUCGGAUUGUAGGCUGCAACUCGCCUAC